rnacentral:rRNA from 1 species
GAUGAACGCUGACAGCAUGCUUAACACAUGCAAGUCAACUGUGGCGGACGGGUGAGUAACGCGUAAAGAACUUGCAUCACAGAGAGGGACAAAAUUUGGAAAAGAAUGCUAAUACCGGAUAAUGUGAGAGAGCUUUGCGUCCCAUUAGCUAUUUGGAGCGGUAACGGCUCACCAAGGCGAUGAUGGGUAGCAGGCCUGAGAGGGUGAUCGGCCACAAGGGGACUGAGACACGGCCCUUACUCUUACGGGAGGCAGGAGGGGGGAAUAUUGGACAAUGUACCACAGUCUGAUCCAGUAAUUGUGUGUGAACGAUGAAGUUUUCGGAAUGUAGAGUGCUUUCAGUUGGGAAGCGUUACCAACAGAAGAAGGGACGGCUAAAUACGUGCCAGCAGCCGCGGUAAUAC